UCUGGGCUGUCCAAGCCUGUAGUCCCAGCUACUUGGGAGGCUGAGACAGGAGGAUUGCUUGAGUCUAGGAGUUCUGAUCUAUAGUGGCUAUGCCGAUAGGGUGUCCGCACUAAGUUCAGCAUCAAUAUGGUGACCUCCAGGGAGCGAGGGACCACCAAGUUCCCUAAGAAGGGGUGAACUGGCCCAGGUCAGAAACGAGCAGGUCAAAAAAUGAGCAGGUCAAAACUCCCGUGUUGAUCAGUAAGACGUUUUUAAAAACGAGAAUUUCUCUGGUAUUUAUUGAUAAGCUAGCAAAAUCACCUUGAUUCU
rnacentral:SRP_RNA from 1 species